rnacentral:lncRNA from 1 species
AGGGGGCGGGCUGGAGCCGCCGUCCCGGCCCUGGAGGCGCUCAGGGCGUACGCGCCGCACCCUCCGGCGCUGCCCGGCUCGGCCUCCUGGAGAGCGCGCCCGGGGCCUCUGCGGACAUCCUGCCAGCCGUCCUGCUCCAAAUCCUGCCCGGGUUCCCGCGGGCUCGGGUAGGCGGCAGGAGGCGGGGGCCUGCCCGGGCGCAGCGGCCUGCAGACAAGCGCCUCUCCGCCCCGGGGGUCCCCUCUUUCCAGGCUGAGCUGCGGUAGGAGGCUUUUCCCAAUUGUCACCACCAGCAGCGAUAACUUGCUGCGGCUUCGUGUGGGCCAGGUACCGUCCCUGCCCUCCUCGCUUGGGAUCGUGUUCAGUGCAACAUACGGAGUCGAAAGUAGCUCCGUUUUACCGAUGAGGAAACUUGAGGCCCAGAGCAGUCCAUUGAACUGCCCAAGAUGGCACAGCCUGUGCAGGGAUUUGGGCCCUCCUUGGGUUACUCAAAGUAGGGCCUGAGACCUCACCCUCGUGCCAGUCUCUGGGGUUGCCGUUACGAGCAGGCUCCCUUGUGAUCUUUUUGCCAACCUGAGAGGACAGCGCUCUGAGGCAAUGUCUGCCCCCUUGGUGGCCAGUCUCCCCAGCUCCAUCUGGGACCUUGACUUGUCUGGGGGAUUGGGACACUGGGGGAGGGGGCCAUGAAGGUUCUGUCAGUCUGUUUUCAUCUGAGAUUUCCUGUUUUCCUUAGCUAAGCUCACAGUAGGUGCUUAACAAACAAAUCCUGUGGCCAGAUCAGACCAGAGGCUAAGGCCAGGCUCCUCAGCCAGGAAAGACCUCAGUAGUUAGAACCCCUGGAUCUUGGAGGUUUCCUUGACUUAGCUUCUCCUCUCUGGUCUUUCUCUCAAGCUCUGGGGAUGGGGGUCAGCCCUCAGAGACUAGGUACCCCUCCCACCCAGGAGUCCCCUGUGGGGGACACUGCCUGGUUUUUACCUUGAACUCCUGCGAGGUGUUCAGGUGUUGGGUAUGUGUUCGCUGAGGCCCUUAUGGGAACUCAGUCUGUGGGUCACAUCAAACAUGGCCAAGACUUGCCCUGUGUGACCCCUGCCAAACCGUUUCUUUUUUUUUUCCAUUUAAUUUCCUAUAUUACUACUUGUCUCCUAGCAUUUAUUCACUCACUCAACAGCUGUUCAUGGCGCUUUGGGCCUUAGGCCCUGUGGAGACAGCAGUAAACAAGGACGACUUGGUCCCUGACCUUGGAGCAGACAGACAACGUACAUGUAGAAGAAAACAGUGAACAGUUACUGGCAGGAACCACUUUGGCUGGGAGGUCAGAGUUCACAAUCUCAGAAGGUGACAUUUUUGGCCAGGGUCUGGAGUCAGCCAUGAAAGGAAGGGAGAAGAGCAUUCCAGGCAGAGAAAAUGACAGAUGCGAAGGCCCUGAGGUUGGAGCAUGCUUGGUGUGUUUGAGAAUCAAGAAGGCCAACAUGGGGCUUCCCUGGUGGCGCAGUGGCUGAGAGUCCGCCUGCCGAUGCAGGGGACACGGGUUCGUGCCCCAGUCCGGGAAGAUCCCACAUGCCGCGGAGCGGCUGGGCCCGUGAGCCAUGGCCGCUGAGACUGUGCGUCCGGAGCCUGUGCUCCACAACGGGAGAGGCCACAACAGUGAGAGGCCCGCGUACCAC